rnacentral:rRNA from 1 species
CCUACGGGUGGCAGCAGUGGGGAAUAUUGGGCAAUGGAGGAAACUCUGACGCAGCAAUGCCGCGUGUAUGAAGAAGGUCUUCGGAUUGUAAAGUUCUUUAGUCGGGGAAGAAUACAAUGACGGUACCUGCAGAAUAAGCUCCGUGUAACUACGUGCCAGCAGCCGCGGUAAUACGUAGGGAGCAAGCGUUGUUCCGAAUGGCUGGGGGGAAAGGGUGCGUAGGCCGUUAUGUAAGGUAGAAGGGGAAUUCCCCGGGCUUAACCCGGGUGCUGCUUCUAAAACUGUAAGACUUGAGUGCAGUAGAGGUUAGUGGAAUUCCUGGUGUAGCGGUGGAAUGCGUAGAUAUUAGGAGGAACACCAGUGGCGAAGGCGGCUAACUGGACUGCAACUGACGCUAAGGCACGAAAGUGUGGGGAGCAAACAGGAUUAGAUACCCUUGUAGUC